rnacentral:rRNA from 1 species
AUUGAACGCUGGCGGCAUGCCUUACACAUGCAAGUCGAACGGUAACAGGUCUUCGGAUGCUGACAAGUGGCGAACGGGUGAGUAAUACAUCGGAACGUGCCUAGUAGUGGGGGAUAACUACUCGAAAGAGUGGCUAAUACCGCAUGAGAUCUACGGAUGAAAGCAGGGGAUCGCAAGACCUUGUGCUACUAGAGCGGCCGAUGGCAGAUUAGGUAGUUGGUGGGAUAAAAGCUUACCAAGCCGACGAUCUGUAGCUGGUCUGAGAGGACGAUCAGCCACACUGGGACUAAGACAAGGCCCAGACUCCUAAGGGAGGCGGCAGUGGGGGAUUUUGGACGAUGGUCGCAAGCCUGAUCCAGCAAUGCCGCGUGCAGUAUGAAGGCCUUCGAGUUGUAAACUGCUUUUGUACGGAACGAAAAGCCCCGGGUUAAUACCCUGGGGUCAUGACGGUACCGUAAGAAUAAGCACCGGCUAACUACGUGCCAGCCGCCGCGGUAA